rnacentral:rRNA from 1 species
UACGUAGGGUGCGAGCGUUGUCCGGAUUUAUUGGGCGUAAAGAGCUCGUAGGCGGCUUGUCGCGUCGACCGUGAAAACUCACAGCUCAACUGUGAGCUUGCGGCCGAUACGGGCAGGCUAGAGUUCGGUAGGGGAGACUGGAAUUCCUGGUGUAGCGGUGAAAUGCGCAGAUAUCAGGAGGAACACCGGUGGCGAAGGCGGGUCUCUGGGCCGAUACUGACGCUGAGGAGCGAAAGCGUGGGGAGCGAACAGG